rnacentral:misc_RNA from 1 species
AAGUCGUAACAAGGUUUCCGUAGGUGAACCUGCGGAAGGAUCAUUAACACAUCGUCUCUGUCUUGGGUCUUCACCGGCUCAAGCACAGAAACAUCACCAAACCGCGAUCUUGUUGUACCUCUCUCUCAUUGGAUGGGAUGACUCUUGGAUGGAGUAGCUAUUGUUCGUUGUCGAAAGACGGCGAUUCAGUAGAUCCUUGGGUUGUUCACAUGUCCUGUUCAGUGAGACUUGUCGAGACUACUCUGGUCCUUCAUUGGGCUAAACCAACUUUUUUAACCCCUUUCACCUUUCUAGUAUUAAUCUGUCUUAUUUCCAUUGUGCACGAAAGUGGCAAUGCAGGAUAUACAACGCGAACAACUCUUAGCAAUGGAUAUCUUGGCUCUG